AGAAAUUGAUGGUUCUGUUGUCAUGUUAGAAUAGAGUUAGUUUUGCAUUUAUGCUCCUCGUUUUGUCAAUGGUUUUUUGGCUUUCGUCUAUUACUUGCUCGAGAAUUUCAAGGUUACCAAUCACCGUUAACUUUGCAGAAAUGUUAGCGAUUUAUAAGUAUGCUGGUUGUUAACACUAUUCAGCCAAGAGACACUGUGUGCUUCUGCCCAACAGCCGCAAACAUGGUGGAAGAUUGGCGCUGUCACUUUCCUUUUGGUAUUAGUGAUCUAUCUUAAGGUUUGCGACCAGG
rnacentral:lncRNA from 1 species